UUAUUUUUGAAGUAGGCUAGAUUACUAGAGCUGAGGACUCUUUCAUGGAUCACUUCCUUGUCGUGGUGAAGGGGCUUGUGUAGCUCAAUGAAGCUAUGAGCUAUGCUGUGCAGGGUCACCAAAGACAGACAGGUCAUAGCAGAGAGCUCUGACAAAACAUGAUCCACUGGAGAAGGAAAUG